AGAGUUUGAUCCUGGCUCAGAUUGAACGCUGGCGGCAUGCCUUACACAUGCAAGUCGAACGGUAACAGGGAGCUUGCUCCGCUGACGAGUGGCGAACGGGUGAGUAAUAUAUCGGAACGUGCCUGGUAAUGGGGGACAACUAGUCGAAAGAUUAGCUAAUACCGCAUACGCCCUACGGGGGAAAGAGGGGGAUUCGCAAGAACCUCUCGUUAUCAGAGCGGCCGAUAUCUGAUUAGCUAGUUGGUGAGGUAAAGGCUCACCAAGGCUUCGAUCAGUAGCUGGUCUGAGAGGACGACCAGCCACACUGGGACUGAGACACGGCCCAGACUCCUACGGGAGGCAGCAGUGGGGAAUUUUGGACAAUGGGCGCAAGCCUGAUCCAGCAAUGCCGCGUGAGUGAAGAAGGCCUUCGGGUUGUAAAGCUCUUUUGUCAGGGAAGAAACGGUCUUGGUUAAUACCUGGGGCUAAUGACGGUACCUGAAGAAUAAGCACCGGCUAACUACGUGCCAGCAGCCGCGGUUAAUACGUAGGGUGCAAGCGUUAAUCGGAAUUACUGGGCGUAAAGCGUGC
rnacentral:rRNA from 1 species